UGGGGAAUAUUGCACAAUGGGCGCAAGCCUGAUGCAGCCAUGCCGCGUGUGUGAAGAAGGCCUUCGGGUUGUAAAGCACUUUCAGCGGGGAGGAAGGCGAUAAGGUUAAUAACCUUGUCGAUUGACGUUACCCGCAGAAGAAGCACCGGCUAACUCCGUGCCAGCAGCCGCGGUAAUACGGAGGGUGCAAGCGUUAAUCGGAAUUACUGGGCGUAAAGCGCACGCAGGCGGUUUGUUAAGUCAGAUGUGAAAUCCCCGGGCUCAACCUGGGAACUGCAUCUGAUACUGGCAAGCUUGAGUCUCGUAGAGGGGGGUAGAAUUCCAGGUGUAGCGGUGAAAUGCGUAGAGAUCUGGAGGAAUACCGGUGGCGAAGGCGGCCCCCUGUACGAAGACUGACGCUCAGGUGCGAAAGCGUGGGGAGCAAACAGG
rnacentral:rRNA from 1 species